rnacentral:RNase_P_RNA from 1 species
UGAGCCGGCCGGGUGGUCGCGGCCGCUGGCGCCGAAAGGCCGCGGUCGAGGAAAGUCCGGGCUCCGCAGGGCAGGAUGCUGGAUAACGUCCAGUGAGGGCGACCUCAAGGAAAGUGCCACAGAAACAUACCGCCGAUGGCCGGCCCAGCGGGCCUGGCUCAGGCAAGGGUGAAAUGGUGAGGCAAGAGCUCACCGGCGGCCGGGUGACCGGCCGGCCGGGUAAACCCCAUCCGGAGCAAGACCGAAUAGAGGAGCUACGAGGCGGCCCGUCUCGCUCCCGGGUUAGGUCGCAAGAGGCGGCGGGCGACCGUCGUCCCAGAUAGAUGACCGCCACUCCCUCGCGGGAGGACAGAACCCGGCUUACAGGCCGGCUCAAACA